rnacentral:rRNA from 1 species
GUCUACGGCCACACCUAGGCGAAAACACCAGUUCCCGUCCGAUCACUGCAGUUAAGCGUCUGAGGGCCUCGUUAGUACUAUGGUUGGAGACAACAUGGGAAUCCGGGGUGCUGUAGGCUACU